CCUACGGGUGGCAGCAGUGGGGAAUAUUGGACAAUGGGGGGAACCCUGAUCCAGCCAUGCCGCGUGUGUGAAGAAGGCCCUCGGGUUGUAAAGCACUUUCAGUGAGGAAGAACGCCUGGUGGUUAAUACCCAUCAGGAAAGACAUCACUCACAGAAGAAGCACCGGCUAACUCCGUGCCAGCAGCCGCGGUAAUACGGAGGGUGCGAGCGUUAAUCGGAAUUACUGGGCGUAAAGCGCGCGUAGGUGGCUUGAUAAGCCGGUUGUGAAAGCCCCGGGCUCAACCUGGGAACGGCAUACGGAACUGUCAAGCUAGAGUGCAGGAGAGGAAGGUAGAAUUCCCGGUGUAGCGGUGAAAUGCGUAGAGAUCGGGAGGAAUACCAGUGGCGAAGGCGGCCUUCUGGACUGACACUGACACUGAGGUGCGAAAGCGUGGGUAGCAAACAGGAUUAGAUACCCUAGUAGUC
rnacentral:rRNA from 1 species